ACAGCCGCAACCCUAACAGCUUCACUCCUUCAGGUUUGAGCCCCCAACCCUAAGUCAGAGAAGAGGUCACCUCUUCCUCUUCAGCCGCAACCCUCUUCCUCUCCCGCCGAGCCCAUCACCGUCGCGACGCUACCUUCCCCCGAGCCCCUCGCCCACUUCUGCUUCCUCUUCAACCGCAACCCUCUUCCUCUCCCGCCGAGCCUUUCACCGCCGCGACCCUACCAUCCUCCGAGUCCCUCGACUCCCUCGCUCACUUCCUCUUCCUCUUCAGCCGCAACCCUCUUCCUCUCCUGCCAAGCCGCUCACCGCCGCGACACUACCAUCCUCCAAGUCCCUUGCUCACUUCCUCUUACUCUUCAGCCGCAAGCCUGCAACCCUCUUCCUCUCCCGCCGAGCCUCUCACCGCCGCGACGCUACCAUCCUCCGAGCCCCUCGCCGAGUCUUCAUCUGCUGAACAGUGAACCCCUCGCUGUGUCACUGUGCUGCCGUCCUGCGCUACCGAACCUCUGCGCUGCCCUCUUUGUCGCCGUCUUCCUCCUCUAGUAACUGGUUUGUUAAGGUAAUUUUAUGGCUAGCAAUGCUAGAGAAGAUACACAAAGCAAUAAUGUUGCUCCGACCGAUAAUGAAAUUGAAGUUGAGAGUAAUAUUCAUUUAUGUUAAUUUUUUACAUCAUAGUAAUUAAUAUAUUAAUUGCCAUCUCUUUUGAUUUUUAGGUUUGAAUCUUGAUCUUCAAAACUUUAAUGAUGAUGAAGAUGUGGAAAGUGAUCAAGAAUAAGGAUUGAAGACUUUUUUAUAUUUUAAUGAUGUAAUUUCUUUAUGUUUGUAUUUUAAUUUAGUUAUUUGACAUUGUAUGAACUCUUUUUUAAUUUUAAGUUAUUUGAGAUUGUAUGAAUCUUAUAUUUGUAUUUUAAUUUAGUUAUGAAUUUUAAGUUUGUAUCUUGAUUUA